rnacentral:lncRNA from 1 species
CAUUUCUUGGUCUGCUCCCUCGGCAUAUGGAGGUUCCCUGGCAAGGGGUCGAAUCAGAGCUGUAGCCACCGGCCUACGCCAGAGCCACAGCAACACCAGAUCCGAGCCACGUCUGCACCCUACACCACAGCUCACGGCAACACCUUAACCCACUGAGCGAGGCCAGGGAUCAAACCCGCAACCUCAUGGUUCCUAGUCGGAUUUGUUGACCACUGAGCCACGACGGGAACUCCUAAUAUUAUUAAUGAAUUGAAUUUUACUCCUCAUGAUUUUUUUAAACCAAAACAAAUAACACAGAAAGAUUACUCAAAAGAAAAAAAUACUCUAUCAAGGAUCACAGAAAACAUCAGAGGCCUUGGGAGGAAAUACCACUUAAGCUCGUGUUUUUAACUGUUGGGGGCUCACAGACACCUGAAAAGUUGAUGAAAUCCACAGAAACCUCUCCUCAGGACAAAGCGCGUAAGCCACCAAGAAAACCCACUAAAUUGUGCGGAACAAAAAAAAACAUGUUUUGGGUCUUACAACCCACUUAUUAAGGCCAGAUUUAACAAUUGAAUUAGAUCACCAAAAGCUUUCAAAUGACUUUCCUAGUUGCCAAUUCAUUCACAGGGUAUAAAAACAACCCCAGUCUCCUUAAGCCAGGAUAAUGACAUAAUACAACAUUUUUAGAAAGAGAACUCAACAAUUCCUGCUCUAAUCGGAACCCCGGUGGGGGGCUCAGAUAAGCACAAUGGAACUGCCUACUCGGAAGGCGCCCAGCCUUAGCACCUGAUCGGGAGCAAAGUGCCAGGAAGCUGCUGAGGCACCAGGCAUUCUCUGAUGGCAGCAAGAAACAAGUGCAGAGAUAAGGGCUUGUGCAGCAGCCAGACUUCUUGAACCCCAGAAAGUCCCUGGAAGGUGGACUUUCACAAACCUGCAAUCCUAAGAUGUAUGCACACUUCCAUAGGCAUAGUUCCAAAAAUUUAACCAAAAAAAUAAAAAAUAUGUGAGAAAUCAAUGAGACAAAUUUCGAUUGGAAGUCAUUGCACAAGAUAAGUAUCCUGGACUCUUCGAAAAAGGAAAAAGCCCAUGUCAUGAAACAUGCCCACUCCAAAGGCAGAGGCUUUUCUAAAUUCAAAAAGACAAAGGAGGGAGUUCCCGUCGUGGCACGGUGGUUAACGAAUCCAACUAGGAACCAUGAGGUGGCGGGUUCGAUCCCUGGCCUUGCUCAUGGGUUAAGGAUCCAGUGUUGCCGUGAGCUGUGGUGUAGGUCACAGACAAAGGCUGGGAUCUGGCAUUGCUGUGGCUGUGGCAUGGGCCGAUGGCUGAGGUUCCAAUUUGACUCCUAGCCUGAGAACUUCCAAGUGCCAUGGGUGUGGCCCUGAAAGAAAGAAAGAAAACAAAAAACCAAAACAAUAAAUGCUGGAGAGGGUGUGGAGAAAAGGGAACCCUCCUACACUAUGGAUGGGAAUGCAAAUUGGUACAAUCACUACAAAGAACAGUAUGGAGGUUCCUUAAAAAACAAAAAAUAGAACUAUCACAUGAUCCAGCAAUCCCACUCCUGGGCAUCUAUCCAGAGAAAACCAUAGUUUGAAAAGAUACAUGCAUCCCGGGUUCAAAGCCAACAUUACAUACAGUAGCCGAGACAUGGAAACAACCUAAAUGUCCACCAACAGAGGAUUGGAGAAAGAAGAUGUGGUACAUAUACACAAUGGAAUAUUACUCAGCCACCAAAGAGAAUGAAAUAACGCCAUAUGUAGCAACAUGGAUGGACCUAGAGAUUAGCAUACUAAGUAAGUCAGAAAGAGAAAGACAAAUAUCGCAUGAUAUCACUUAUAUGUGGCAUCUAAUAAAAAUGACACAAAUGAACUUAUUUACAAAGAAGAAACAGAGAUCUCAAAAUCAAAUGUAAGGUUACCAAAGAGGAAAUGUGGGGAGAAGGGAUAAAUUAAAAGUUUGGGAUUAACAUAUACACACUACUAUAUAUAAAACAGAUAACGAACAAGGACCUGCUGUAUAGCCCAGAGGAACCAACUCACCAUUCUGUAAUUACCUCUAUGGGAAAGAAUCUGGGAAAAUACCUAUGGCUGAUUCACUCUGCUGUGCACAUGAAACUAACACAGCACUGUAUGUCACCAUACCCACCUCCCCCCAGAAUUUAAUUUUUAAAAAAAAGAGGAAAAAAAAAUAGAGACGAUUAUAUCCACCCUCCCCUCACAAUGUGAAGAUUGUUCUGGUUAGAGGUAGAAUGAUAAACUAGCCCAAGGGGCUAAGGGGCUGUCUUUUCAGCUCUCUGACCCACUGUCGUCCAUGAAAACUCUGAAGGCACCAGCGCCUGUCUAAAAAUUUUCUGCAAGUUUUCCUUGCCUGGAGCUGAAAGGACUUAAGGUUUUUAAAACAAGGAGUGAUGCUGUGAACCAGAUCCAAAAAACGGCAACACGGCUGUGGCAGCCAAAAUGCUGACUUGGGGGGUUGGUUCACUCUGUGGCACAGCCGGUUAAGGAUCCAAAGGCAGCAGCUGGAGGUCACUGUGGAGGCUCAGGUUCAAUCCAUAUGCCCCAGGUGUGAUCAAAAAAAAAAAAAAAAAAAUGGUGGAGUUCCCAUCAUGACUCAGUGGUAACGAAUACAACUAGUAGUAUCUAUGAGGAUGCAGGUUCGAACCCUGGCCUUGCUCAGUGGGUUAAGGAUCCUACAUUGCUGUGGCUGUGGUGUAGGUCAGCAGCUGCAGCUCUGAUUUGACCCCUAGCUCAGGAACCUCCAUAAGGCAUGGGUGCAACCCUAAAAAAACAAAAAAAAAAAAAGAUGCUGACUUGGAAGAGAAUCAUCAAUUAGGAGAUGUGUUUAUUUUUCUCCAAGCAGUGCAUAUGGAUCCUUUCACCAAUUUCAUCUUGGUUUCAUGAAUUGUCUGAGAAACUAAAUUCUGUCCCUAUUAGCACCGUCCAUUCGGUACAGUGCCCCUCCCUGCAUGCUCCUGUGCAGCUAUUAUCCUUAUACCCACUGACAGCAAAUUUACAAUAAAUGACAUCAAAAAAUAAAGAAACCAGUUGUGUAAUUAAAAAUUUUAAAAAAAUAAAGGAUAUCUUUUGUAGGGUACAGUAAGGGAGGCGUGGCACCACACGAGCACAGACUCAGUAAGCUAAAUGGAUGUAAUUCCAUAAAACUCUUCCGAGGCAGUUAGCAAAAGAAAUUUGACUUGAUGCAUUCCAUGACUAGAUUCAUUCUUCUAGAAUUCCAAAGAAGGAAAGGAAACAAAUAUUUCCUUUAGAAGCUUUGUGUCUGCCAAUUAAUUAAGCCAAAUUAAGGUGUGAGCUGUAGAGUCAAGCCUUCAGCAGAGAGGGAAGUGUCCCAAGGUUAUUCAAAUAAAGUUGCCUGGGGCUACAAGCUGGAAACGGAAAGAGAAGGGAGGAUCCCCUGAAUAACCUGAGCAGGAAAGGGACACAGAAACAGCUACAUUCUCAAGGAGAGCAAGGAUGUGUGCUUAGCCUUCUCUGCCCUGCAAGUUCCAACUACAAAGAUGACCUGAAAUCCUGCUAAUUUUAAUAAAAAAAUAAAUAAAUAAAAGCUAUGCAAUGUUCAAAAAUAUCCUGCAGACUUACAAUGACCUAAGCUGCAAAGAGAAAAGCAGAAAAAUUCCCCCAAGACUUGAAAACAAAAUCCAACAACAGAAGGAAAGGGGUGAGGUAGAGGAAACGGUCCAGCAGCAGAAAGGGUGAGGCUGGGGGGGAGUAAUCCAUUUGCCUGGGAAGUUCUUUGCUGCUGCUUUCUCUGGUUUCUGUCUCAGAUGCCUUGUUCUUGGUUUCAGACGAACAUCCUCAACUGAAAGUCAAGAACCCUGGACCUACCUCUGCCUAAAGCAUCUGUAUUUUUCCCCCCAUUUUUCUUUCUUUUUCUAUUUUUUCUUUUCCUUUUCUUUUUGGUGUAUUUAAGGGUUUGUUUUUCUGUGUCACUGAAAACAACAGAUGUGUUGAGAUGUUCGUACAUCUCAAAAUGUAUUGCAAACCCCCCCCCCCCAAUCUCU